rnacentral:snRNA from 1 species
GUGCUGCUUCGGCAGCAUGUAUACUAAAAUUGGAGAAGAUUAGCAUGGCCCCUGUGCAAGGAUGACGUAUAAGUUCGUGAAGUGUUCUGUAUUUUU